AAAUACGUGUUUUCAAGGUCUAGAACAUCUUCAUGAUCAAUGGUGAGAUCACUUGAAUUGUGAGAUACACCAGUUUCGUUUUCAUUGUCUACUGCAAGAGUUAGGUCCAACGAGAGGCCGGACCCAACUUCGAUCCGAGGCUUUGUAGGUCUAUCUUCAUAUGAUAACCAACUUCCUUGGCGUUUCGCACUCUUUUCUUUGNCGGACCCAACUUCGAUCCGAGGCUUUGUAGGUCUAUCUUCAUAUGAUAACCAACUUCCUUGGCGUUUCGCACUCUUUUCUUUGACUAUGAGUCCUAACUGACAAUUGCCACUUGCUAUGGAGGCAAGCUUCUUUUCAUCAACAAAAUGACCAUCUUUAGGAUGGGUUGUCGACCAAU
rnacentral:lncRNA from 1 species